UGUGCCUUGUUGGGAUCCCAGGGCAGGGCCUGCCCCCAAAGCUUCUUCAACCCUGCUAGAGGAUACUGGGGGCUGAAGUGCUGUAGAAGAGGAGUGCUGCGGACAGAAGGCUUUCAUGUUUGAGUGUAGCCACUGGCUUGGUCACACCAUGGCCAACGUUGGUCAUCUCCAUCCCGAGGAGAUACAGCUCAGGGCUGGCAUAUCCCCCGCUUACGUGAUUACAGGGGAGAAAAGGGAACUUUAAGGCAAGCCGAUCUCCAGGGCACGUUCAAGAGAUGUGUGGAUGUGUCAAUGAAGGAUGCAGUCAGUGGUCAUGGUGGUGAUGGGUCGAUGGCUGGUCGUGAUGAUCUUCAAGGACUUAUCAAACCUAAACAAUUCUAUGACUUCAUGGCAAAGGAUCUUUGUCAAGCUUAUCAGCCCCAGUGUGUCCCAGAUAGUCCCUCCUCAUUCCCAGCAUCGAAACUUUCAGUGCCAUCUCCUCUACCAAAGCCAAGCCAUGCCAUGCACAAGCUCUUUUUUUGCUUAAUGUCAACAUGCAACACCAUGACCACAGCACAGCAUCCCAGCAGCCAUGUCUCCUUCAUCUGCCACCACUCCUUGGUUUGCUUUGAAAUCCCACCAGGUUUUGUUUGGGUUUCAGCAAAUACCCUCUCACCUGGCUUUCUGUCUUUUUCACCUUCCUAUUUUUACUGCUUUGAAAGGGGCUUAUGCACCCUGGGAACUUGGCACAGGUUGAAAAAGAAAGCGAGCUUCUGCAGCGGGUCCAGCGAGGAGCCCCUACGUGCAGGGAAAGCAUUCACCUAAUUGUGCUCCGUGAGGUUUUCAGUGCAGCCGGCUGCCUCCUGUUAUAAAACGGGGAAGGGGUGGAUAUAAAAACCAGGCAAAGCAAAGAAGGUACGGAGUUCAUAGAACGUGGGGCGAUGGAGAAAGCACAGCAGUGUCGGUGCUGAAAGAGCAGUGCGAUGGGGAUGCUGGGCAUGGUGGGUUGGAUGGGAGAGAACUCAUUGUGGCAGGAGUAUGCCAGCUGUAGGAACCCAUUUGGGCUGCUUUUACAGAAACCGAGGUGGUAUAACUACAUUCACCAGCAAAUAACUUAAAUAUUGCCAGUCACGUCACAUUGUGGUUGUUUGGAAAUAAUUAUAUCCAUAUCACAGACAGUAAAUAAUAGAUGUGCUUUCACUAACAUUUUAUUCAUGUUCUGUUUUAAUAUGGCAAACUUAGAAGUAAUUUAAUCUCCCAGUAAAUUGAACUGGUAGGGGGUUCUUCACACAGAAGAUUGCAAGUUAUUAAUUCCAGGCAGUCUUCAUCUUGUACAAUUAGUCACUGUUUGCAGCUGGAAAUGUUUUAUUAAUUUUCCAUAGCAGUUGAUUUUCCACAGUUUUCUCAGUUUAAAUUAAGCAGUAAGAGCUGCUGUUUCUUCUUAAAUAAA